rnacentral:lncRNA from 1 species
UGCCAGGCAACCUUGGACCAGAGACAGCAGAGCAGAGCCAUGAACUGGAAGGAAAAAGUCUGUAGCAUUCCCUCUCGGCAUAGCCCUUCUCAAUGCCUCUCCUAAGCCUUGGAGAAGUUGGAGGCCAUGUGUUCAACCGAGAGUGUAACCCGAUGGAAAGAACCAGGGUCCCUGAGACUGGAAUAGAGAAUACUUCUCCACCAUCUGCCUUGUAUUUAUUUCCCUGACCAAUGCUGUGGCAUUCGAGCAAAGCCCC